rnacentral:rRNA from 2 species
ACGACUCUCGACAACGGAUAUCUCGGCUCUCGCAUCGAUGAAGAACGUAGCGAAAUGCGAUACUUGGUGUGAAUUGCAGAAUCCCGUGAACCAUCGAGUCUUUGAACGCAAGUUGCGCCCGAAGCCACUAGGCUGAGGGCACGUCUGCCUGGGUGUCACGCAU